GCUGAGUACAAGGAGGUCCACUGUUAGACACUGGACCUCACCUCUUCAUUAUUAUUGUAGAGUGACUCACAGGGGAAAAGAAAUUCAGACAAGCAAGGAGACCCAUGUCAUAAACCUACAAGUCACCAGCCUGAUAAACUACCAUCUUUACCACCAGUCACAAUGCUCCCAUUAGACUCCAACAGAAGAGAAGCCCAUAGCUUUGGGGCAGACAGCUACUCUUUGGAUGGGCUGCAGAGGAGAGAGAGGAAAACACCGUUUUCUGGAGCGCAAAUCCCUGGGAUCUCAAUCCUGGUUCCAUCGCUUAACUGUCAUCUGAUCUCAGGUAAAUUGCUUAAUGUUCCUGUA
rnacentral:lncRNA from 1 species